GCUCAAUGAUUUUUUAAAUUGCUGUAGUAUUUUGACUAUACAAAGGUAUUGUAAUAAGACUUUAAUUGAGUGCUAAGAGAAUGGAAUUUCAGGAAAAAUCUUUUUUUAAAUUAAAAAUAGAAGUUAUUUUUAUUUGUGAAGAAACAAUAAUGUAAAUUUAGGACAAGAAGACCCUAUGAAUUUUUAUAUCUUUUAUAAAUUUAGGUGAAUAAAAGAUAUUUAAUUGGGGCGAUUAUAAAAUAUUUGUAACUUUUAUAAAGUAAAGUUGAUCCAUUAUUAAUGAUAAUAUGAAUAAAUACUCUAGGGAUAACAGCGUAAUAAUUUUGGAUAGAUCUUAUAGAUAAAAUAGUUUGCGACCUCGAUGUUGGAUUAGGAUUCUUAUUUAAUGAAGAAGUUAAAUAAAGAAGUUUGUUCAACUUUUAAAUUCCUACUUGAUCUGAGUUCAGACCGG
rnacentral:rRNA from 1 species